GCCCUAGUAGCUUAAUACCCACAAAGCGUUGACCUUGUAAAUCAAAAAUGGGCCCAUCGCCCCUAGAGCA
rnacentral:tRNA from 1 species